ACAAAAAAAUAGAAACUACAAAAGUACAUAAUAAUAUUUAACAUUUUGAUCACAUUCUUAUAUAGUUCAUGCAAGACAUAAUAGCAAGAACUAUAUAUAUUGAUCAAUAAUUAAUGACCACCACCAAUGCCUCCACCACCACCAAAUCCACCACCACCUCCUAUACCUCCGCCAACGCCUCCACCUGCACCACCACCAAAGCCACCUCCGGCACCUCCACCACCACCAAUGCCACCACCUCCACCACCACCAAAUCCUCCGCCUCCACCUCCACCUAGACCACCUCCGGCCCCUCCACCUCCACCAAAACCACCUCCAGCACCACCACCUAAUCCUCCUCCACCACCAGCACCACCACCAAAUCCACCACCUCCACCAACUCCUCCUCCGGCACCACCACCUACUCCUCCACCAGCUCCACCACCACCACCUAGUCCUCCUCCAGCUCCACCACCACCUCCUAGUCCACCACCACCACCUAGUCCUCCUCCGGCUCCACCACCACCUCC
rnacentral:lncRNA from 1 species